rnacentral:rRNA from 1 species
GUGAGGAAUUUUCCGCAAUGGGCGAAAGCCUGACGGAGCAAUGCCGCGUGAAGGAUGAAGGCCUAUGGGUUGUAAACUUCUUUUCUCAGAAAAGAAUUAUGACGGUAUCUGAGGAAUAAGCAUCGGCUAACUCUGUGCCAGCAGCCGCGGUAAGACAGAGGAUGCAAGCGUUAUCCGGAAUGAUUGGGCGUAAAGCGUCUGUAGGUUGUUUAAAAAGUAUUCUGUCAAAGAUUAGGGCUUAACCCUAGAUAGGCAGAAUAAACUUUUAAGCUAGAGUUUGGUAGAGGCAGAGGGAAUUCCAGGUGGAGCGGUUAGAUGCGUAGAUAUCGGGAGGAACACCAAAGGCGAAGGCACUCUGCUGGGCCAAUACUAACACUGAGAGACGAAAGCGAGGGGAGCAAAUGGGAUUAGAAACCCCAGUAGUCC